rnacentral:lncRNA from 1 species
UUUCGCGCUUCUGCCCUGGCCCUCUGCGGGCCGCUCCGCCGGUGCUGUCCCUGGGCGCCUCCGUGCUCUCAGCCAACCACCUCUGAGAGCGCCCACUCGAGCGCCCCGGGAGCCAGAGGGCGGGGGUCCUCGCCGGGACCCUCCUGUGGGCCCAGGGGGACAAAAGUGGCUCUCAAUCCAGCACAUGCACAUUGAAGCAAGUUAAAGGAUUUAAUAUGAAGCACAGAAGCAGAUAGUGCCAAAUAGCAAGCAGUAGUUGUUACACAUUUCUGGAAAAGCAGUGUCCGUGUUGUUAUGUACACCUCCAAAAAAAGUUCAAAUGUGUAGGGGAAUUGUUGUGUAAAGUAAACUGAACUGCAGGGGUGAGCAGGGCAGCAUUUCCUUCUCCCACUGCUGCUGAGAUGGCAGAAAUUAGUCGAAUUCAGUACGAAAUGGAAUAUACUGAAGGCAUUAGUCAGCGAAUGAGGGUCCCAGAAAAGUUAAAAGUAGCACCGCCAAACGCUGACCUGGAACAAGGAUUCCAAGAAGGAGUUCCAAAUGCUAGUGUGAUAAUGCAAG